rnacentral:rRNA from 1 species
AGUGAACGCUGGCGGUAGGCCUAACACAUGCAAGUCGAACGGCAGCACGGUAAGAGCUUGCUCUUACGGGUGGCGAGUGGCGGACGGGUGAGGAAUACAUCGGAAUCUACUUUUUCGUGGGGGCUAACGUAGGGAAACUUACGCGAAUACCGCAUACGACCUACGGGUGAAAGCCGGGGAUCUUCGGACCUUGUGCGAUUGAAUAAGCCGAUGUCGGGUUAGCUAGUUGGCGGGGUAAAGGCACACCAAGGCGACGAUCCGUAGCUGGUCUGAGAGGAUGAUCAGCCAGACUGGAAGUGAGACACAGUCCAGACUCCGACGGGAGGCAACAGUGGGGAAUAUUGGACAAUGGGGGCAAGCCGGAUACAGCCAUACCGCGUGGGUGAAGAAGGCCUUCUGGUUGGAAAGCCCUUUUGUUGGGAGAGUAAAGCAGCAGGUUAAUACCCCGCUGUUCUGACGGUACCCAAAGAAUAAGCUCCGGCUAACUUCGUG